AUGCGAAUGCAUCAUGGGGACCCCUACUUCCUAGUGGGCCAAGGACUCCAGCUGAUACCCUGGUGUGCUGUAUGCAGUGAGAGAUGGACCCUGCAGGAGCUCACAGCUGUGGAGGUAACUAAGAAUUAUGGAGGAGAGACCUGCCAAAGGCUUCAUGGUGUGUCAGAGGAGACUGAGGAACAAGGUGAGGUUAUCGUGUGGGCCACUUAUGUGAUUGAUGACGAAGGCUGUAUCUCCUACGGCUUGCUGUGGGGGCUGAAUUCUGCUAUUAAUGCACAUGUGCACACUUGGUUUCUCAACCCUGGCACGCCCUGCAUUGGUAUUUGGCUUCUACUGUGUAAAUCAUUGAUUGCCAGUAAGCAGGGGAGUUCUGAUAUACAGGAGCAUGGAUGGUGGAAGGACAAGCGAACGUGGGUACAAGGCAUAGUUGUGUAGAAUUAUAGACUCAUUCAGAUGGGAAAAGACCUCUAAGAUCACCUGGUCCAACCUUUAACCUAGCACUGCCAAGUCUGCCACUAAACCAUGUCCCUAAGCUCUAAAUCUACAUGCUUUUUGAAUACCUCCAGGGAUGGUGACUCAGCUAUUUCCCGGGCAGCCGGUUCCAAGACUUCACAACCCCUUCAGUGAAGAAAUUUUUCCUAACAUCCAACCUAAACCUCCCCUGGCACAACUUAAAACUAUCUCCUCUUGUCUUAUCACUUGGUGCUUGGGUGAAGAGACUGACCCCACCUCUCUAUAGCAAGGUUGCAUGAGUGCUUACACGGACUUUGGCCUUUCAGACACAGCUGACAUGAGCACACAUGCACAUGGGCACCUGUGAGUGCCCUGAGAACCAGAGGGGGCAAUAUGAGGGGGACUAUUGAGUGUGGUCACCAACCAGGGACAUGUCAGCCAGAGCCAACAUCUGCACACAAGGAGAAGCAUCAUACCCCAUGCCGGUACACCUUCAGCCUAAAAUAUGUCAGCAUUGUGAUGGGUUUCACCAGCCCUAUAAAUCAGGCUCAGCCUUGUGAGUGCUUCAGGUUGCUCUGCAGAGAAGGGAUGACAAGAAAAGCAUCAUUUUGUGUUAAGAAAGCUCCAAGCAGGCACCAUUUGUCUGAUGAAGAGUGUGGCCAGGCCUGUUUCAUUGCUGGGCACUGGGGACAGCAG
rnacentral:lncRNA from 1 species